GUCCCUUGUAGGGAGCCCGGAAUUACCUUCAGUAGGGCUGCUGACACUGAUGAGAGGACUUUUAUGCCAAGAUUGUCUCUAUUUGAACAGACCACACCAUGCGUGAGUACAAGCUAGUGGUCCUUGGCUCAGGAGGUGUGGGCAAGUCCGCGUUGACUGUACAGUUUGUUCAGGGAAUUUUUGUUGAAAAAUAUGACCCAACAAUAGAAGAUUCAUACAGAAAG
rnacentral:lncRNA from 1 species